rnacentral:rRNA from 1 species
UACGGAGGGUGCAAACGUUGCUCGGAAUCAUUGGGCGUAAAGCGUGUGUAGGCGGUUUGUCGCGUCUGCUGUGAAAUUUCGGGGCUCAACCCCGAACUUGCAGUGGGUACGGGCAGACUAGAGUGUGGUAGGGGAGACUGGAAUUCCUGGUGUAGCGGUGAAAUGCGCAGAUAUCAGGAGGAACACCGAUGGCGAAGGCAGGUCUCUGGGCCACUACUGACACUGAGGAGCGAAAGCGUGGGUAGCAAACAGG